CAGUGUUCCUGUCGCGAGUUCCCUAAGAACGUCAUCGGAAGCUAUGACCAUGUGAUCACCGCUUGAGGUACAACAUUCUUUGGCGCUUCAAGCUUAUUGAAGGCACUUCCCUUCGCUGGAUAAGUUCAAGCAAGCAAAAAUUUUCCACUGAACUAUGCUUUGUCAUUCUGAAAAAAAAAUUCUAAAAUACAAGUGAUUGCAAUUAUAUUAGUUUAAGUGUAA